rnacentral:rRNA from 1 species
AUUGAACGCUGGCGGCAUGCUUUACACAUGCAAGUCGAGCGGGGUUUUCGGACCUAGCGGCGGACGGGUGAGUAAUGCGUAGGAAGCUACCCGAUAGAGGGGGAUACCAGUUGGAAACGACUGUUAAUACCGCAUAAUGUCUACGGACCAAAGUGUGGGACCUUCGGGCCACAUGCUAUCGGAUGCGCCUACGUGGGAUUAGCUAGUUGGUGAGGGAAUGGCUCACCAAGGCGACGAUCCCUAGCUGGUUUGAGAGGAUGAUCAGCCACACUGGAACUGGGACACGGUCCAGCCUCCUACGGGAGGCAGCAGUGGGGAAUAUUGGACAAUGGGCGCAAGCCUGAUCCAGCCAUGCCGCGUGUGUGAAGAAGGCCUUCGGGUUGUAAAGCACUUUCAGUAGGGAGGAAGCGUUGUGUGUUAAUAGUACACAGCGUUGACGUUACCUACAGAAGAAGCACCGGCUAACUCUGUGCCAGCAGCCGCCGUAACAC